rnacentral:misc_RNA from 1 species
CAUCCCCUCACAACCCCCUGCUUGGGGGCUGUGGAUCUGGCCGUGUCGGCUGCUGCCCUUCGCUUGACGGGGGGCCUGCGGCCGAGUCGGCUGAAGCUCAGAGGCCUGAGCAAGAGCCCAUUCAACCGGGCAUCGACAUGGUGGGUGGCCCUCCGGGCUGCAUUGCCGUUGAUGACCGGGGGACUUGCUGGGGGCCUGCAGGAACACCGGCCCUUUCCGGGUGCCGGUGCCGACCAACU